GACGAACGCUGGCGGCGUGCUUAACACAUGCAAGUCGAACGGAAAGGCCCUGCUUUUGUGGGGUGCUCGAGUGGCGAACGGGUGAGUAACACGUGAGUAACCUGCCCUUGACUUUGGGAUAACUUCAGGAAACUGGGGCUAAUACCGGAUAGGAGCUCCUGCUGCAUGGUGGGGGUUGGAAAGUUUCGGCGGUUGGGGAUGGACUCGCGGCUUAUCAGCUUGUUGGUGGGGUAGUGGCUUACCAAGGCUUCGACGGGUAGCCGGCCUGAGAGGGUGACCGGCCACAUUGGGACUAAGAUACGCCCCAGACUCCUACGGGAGGCAGCAGUGGAGAACAUUGCCCAAUGAGCGCAAGCCUGAUGCGGCGACGCCGCGUUCGGGAUGACGGCCUUCGGGUUGUAAACCGCUUUCGCCUGUGACGAAGCGUGAGUGACGGUAAUGGGUAAAGAAGCACCGGCUAACUACGUG
rnacentral:rRNA from 1 species